rnacentral:rRNA from 1 species
UACGUAGGGCGCAAGCGUUGUCCGGAAUCAUUGGGCGUAAAGCGCACGUAGGCGGUUCGUUAUGUCGGAUGUGAAAGCCCUUGGCUUAACCGAGGAAGUGCAUCCGAAACUGGCGAGCUAGAGUACGAAAGAGGAUCGCGGAAUUCCCGGUGUAGAGGUGAAAUUCGUAGAUAUCGGGAGGAACGACCGGUGGCGAAGGCGGCGAAGUCUGGGUCGAGUACUGACGCUGAGGUGCGGAAAGCGUGGGGAGCAACAGGG